CAGAAACUUAAAUGAAUUGACGGGGCCGCACAAGCGGAGGAGCAUGUGGUUAAUUCGAUGAUACGCGAGGAACCUUACCUGGGCUCGAACGUAAGAUGACUGUAGGUGAAAGCUUACAUCUCUUCGGAGCAUUUUACGAGGUGCUGCAUGGUUGUCGUCAGCUCGUGCCGUGAGGUGUCGGGUUAAGUCCCAUAACGAGCGCAACCCUACCUUUAGUUGCCAUCAGGUAAUGCUGGGGACUCUAAAGGAACUGCCUACGCAAGUAGUGAGGAAGCGGGGAUGACGUCAAAUCAGCACGGCCCUUACGUCCAGGGCUACACACGUGCUACAAUGGCCGAUACAGAGGGCAGCUACCUGGUGACAGGAUGCAAAUCUCCAAAGUCGGUCUCAGUUCGGAUCGGAGUCUGCAACCCGACUCCGUGAAGUUGGAUUCGCUAGUAAUCGCGCAUCAGCCAUGGCGCGGUGAAUACGUUCCCGGGCCUU
rnacentral:rRNA from 1 species